AAUUGGAGGGCAAGUCUGGUGCCAGCAGCCGCGGUAAUUCCAGCUCCAAUAGCGUAUAUUAAAGUUGUUGCAGUUAAAAAGCUCGUAGUUGAAUUUCGGGAUCAGCAGGUCGGUCGUGCCACUGGUAUGCACUGGCCUUGCUGAUUCCUCCCUCUUGAUGAGCCGUAAUGCCAUUAAUUUGGUGUUGCGGGGAAUCAGGACUGUUACUUUGAAAAAAUUAGAGUGUUUAAAGCAGGCAUGCGCUUGAAUACAUUAGCAUGGAAUAAUGAAAUAGGACGUUCGAUCCUAUUUUGUUGGUUUCUAGGAUUGACGUAAUGAUUAAUAGGGAUAGUUGGGGGCAUUAGUAUUCAAUUGUCAGAGGUGAAAUUCUUGGAUUUAUUGAAGACUAACUACUGCGAAAGCAUUUGCCAAGGAUGUUUUCAUUAAUCAAGAACGAAAGUUAGGGGAUCGAAGACGAUCAGAUACCGUCGUAGUCUUAACCAUAAACUAUGCCGACUAGGGAUCGGAUGAUGUUAAUUUUUUAAUGACUCAUUCGGCGCCUUACGGGAAACCAAAGUGU
rnacentral:rRNA from 1 species